UUAACAAAGCAGGUUCAGCUAUCUUGACGGGACCGAUUCCUGGCAAUAAGUGACUUACAAUAAAUGUAUGCACCGUCCAACCAGUCCACAGCACGAAAAAACUACGGAUGCUGAGGAUGACAACACCGCAUUAUGCCCGGCUGCUAGAGGGUCUCAGGCGCAGCGUUGACGGGGUUGCAGCCAGUCACCUUGCCAUUGAUCGGGAAACAAUCCUUAGCCAGACCAAGGCCAGAUCCAUCCCAGGUAAGUGUGCCAGUCCUUGCUCGCA